rnacentral:rRNA from 1 species
GGUGCUCGAGUGGCGAACGGGUGAGUAACACGUGAGUAACCUGCCCUUGACUUUGGGAUAACUUCAGGAAACUGGGGCUAAUACCGGAUAGGAGCUCCUGCUGCAUGGUGGGGGUUGGAAAGUUUCGGCGGUUGGGGAUGGACUCGCGGCUUAUCAGCUUGUUGGUGGGGUAGUGGCUUACCAAGGCUUUGACGGGUAGCCGGCCUGAGAGGGUGGACGGCCACAUUGGGACUGAGAUACGGCCCAG